CUACGGGAUGCUGCAGUGGGGAAUCUUAGACAAUGGGGGAAACCCUGAUCUAGCCAUGCCGCGUGAUCGAUGAAGGCCUUAGGGUUGUAAAGAUCUUUCAGGUGGGAAGAUAAUGACUGUACCACCAGAAGAAGCCCCGGCUAACUCCGUGCCAGCAGCCGCGGUAAUACGGAGGGGGCUAGCGUUAUUCGGAAUUACUGGGCGUAAAGCGCACGUAGGCGGACCAGAAAGUCAGAGGUGAAAGCCCGGGGCUCAACCCCGGAACGGCCUUUGAAACUCCUGGUCUUGAGGUCGAGAGAGGUGGGUGGAAUUCCGAGUGUAGAGGUGAAAUUCGUAGAUAUUCGGAGGAACACCAGUGGCGAAGGCGGCUCACUGGCUCGAUACUGACGCUGAGGUGCGAAAGCGUGGGGAGCAAACAGGAUUAGAUACCCCGGUAGUC
rnacentral:rRNA from 1 species